AUUGAACGCUGGCGGAAUGCUUUACACAUGCAAGUCGAGCGGCAGCGCGGGGGCAACCUGGCGGCGAGCGGCGAACGGGUGAGUAAUGCAUCGGAACAUGUCCAUGUCGUGGGGGAGUAGCCCGGCGAAAGCCGGAUUAAUACCGCAUACGCCCGAGAGGGGAAAGGUGGGGGACCGGCAAGGCCUCACGCGAUUGGGUUGGCCGAUGUCCGAUUAGCUAGUUGGCGGGGUAAGUGGCCCACCAAGGCGAUGAUCGGUAGCUGGUCUGAGAGGAUGAUCAGCCACACUGGGACUGAGACACGGCCCAGACUCCUACGGGAGGCAGCAGUGGGGAA
rnacentral:rRNA from 1 species